GCGGCAAGGGGGUUCUCCUCCAAACCCUAACUUUCACAAAAACCAUUAAUUGAAGGCUCAAAUCAAGUUCAAAUCGAAAUCUGAUAUAGAUUAGUGAUCACCUUGUUGUAGGGAUCAUAAGGAAAAGAAACCGGAGCGUCAAGUGGACAAGCCGGUGGUGACGCGCUUGAAAGGGGUGCUUGAAAGCUUUUAGGUAUUGCAAGUACGUGGAUGAUGAUCAAGUCGAUGCUUCCGAACCGAACACAAUCUUUUGAAGCUUCCGCAUUAGAUUAACCUUGUUUUAGACAAUGUCUAUAAUGUAAACAAUUUUCUAAUCGUGUUCUGA